rnacentral:rRNA from 3 species
AACUUUCAACAACGGAUCUCUUGGUUCUCGCAUCGAUGAAGAACGCAGCGAAAUGCGAUAAGUAGUGUGAAUUGCAGAAUUCAGUGAAUCAUCGAAUCUUUGAACGCACAUUGCGCCCUCUGGUAUUCCGGGGGGCAUGCCUGUUCGAGCGUCAUCAA